rnacentral:rRNA from 1 species
GCAAGGGGUGGGGGAGCAGCGGGGGGAGUAAGUGGGGCCCAGGCGUUGUUCGGGUUGGUUGGGCGGAAAGGGUGCGUAGGGGGUGGGGUAAGUCGGAUGUUAAAUCUCCGGGUGCAACGCGGAAAUGGGAUUGGAAACGACCCUGCUGUAGGGUCGGAGGGGGGACUGGAGUUCUCGGUGUAGCAGUGAAAUGCGUAGAUAUCGAGAGGAACACCAGUGGCGAAGGCGAGUCCCUGGACGACUCCUGACACUGAGGCACGAAAGCUAGGGGAGCAAACAGGAUUAGAUACCCUGGUAGUC